GUCUUUUUGAAUUAAAUUUAAAGUCUAACCUGCCCACUGAAAAUUUUAAAUGGCCGCAGUAUUCUAACUGUGCAAAGGUAGCAUAAUCAUUAGUCUUUUAAUUGAAGGCUGGAAUGAAUGGUUGGACGAAAUAUUAACUGUUUCAUUUAAAUUUUUUAUAGAAUUUUAUUUUUUAGUAAAAAAGCUAAAAUAAUUUUAAAAGACGAGAAGACCCUAUAAAUCUUUAUAUUUUGUUUAUUUUAAUUAUAAAGAUUAUUUUUAUUAUAAUAAGUUAAAAUAUUUUAUUGGGGUGAUAUUAAAAUUUAAAAAACUUUUAAUUUUUAAAACCAUUAAUUUAUGAAUAAUUGAUCCAUUAAUAAUGAUUAAAAAUUUAAGUUACUUUAGGGAUAACAGCGUAAUUUUUUUGGAGAGUUCAUAUCGAUAAAAAAGAUUGCGACCUCGAUGUUGGAUUAAGAUAUAAUUUUGGGUGUAGCCGUUCAAAUUUUAAGUCUGUUCGACUUUUAAAUUCUU
rnacentral:rRNA from 2 species